CGCGUAGGCGGCUUGCCAAGUUGGAUGUGAAAGCCCGGGGCUCAACCUCGGAACUGCAUUCAAAACUGGUAAGCUUGAGACCGAGAGAGGAAAGUGGAAUACCCAGUGUAGAGGUGAAAUUCGUAGAUAUUGGGUGGAACACCGGUGGCGAAAGCGGCUUUCUGGCUCGGAUCUGACGCUGAGGCGCGAAAGCGUGGGGAGCAAACA
rnacentral:rRNA from 1 species